rnacentral:rRNA from 1 species
GAUGAACGCUGGCGGCGUGCCUAAUACAUGCAAGUCGAGCGAACGGACGAGAAGCUUGCUUCUCUGAUGUUAGCGGCGGACGGGUGAGUAACACGUGGAUAACCUACCUAUAAGACUGGGAUAACUUCGGGAAACCGGAGCUAAUACCGGAUAAUAUUUUGAACCGCAUGGUUCAAAAGUGAAAGACGGUCUUGCUGUCACUUAUAGAUGGAUCCGCGCUGCAUUAGCUAGUUGGUAAGGUAACGGCUUACCAAGGCAACGAUGCAUAGCCGACCUGAGAGAGGGAUCGGCCACACUGGAACUGAGACACGGUCCAGACUCCUACGGGAGGCAGCAGUAGGGAAUCUUCCGCAAUGGGCGAGAGCCUGACGGAGCAACGCCGCGUGAGUGAUGAAGGUCUUCGGAUCGUAAAACUCUGUUAUUAGGGAAGAACAUAUGUGUAAGUAACUGUGCACAUCUUGACGGUACCUAAUCAGAAAGCCACGGCUAACUACGUG